rnacentral:rRNA from 1 species
AUUGAACGCUGGCGGCAGGCCUAACACAUGCAAGUCGAGCGGAUGAAGGGAGCUUGCUCCUGGAUUCAGCGGCGGACGGGUGAGUAAUGCCUAGGAAUCUGCCUGGUAGUGGGGGAUAACGUCCGGAAACGGGCGCUAAUACCGCAUACGUCCUGAGGGAGAAAGUGGGGGAUCUUCGGACCUCACGCUAUCAGAUGAGCCUAGGUCGGAUUAGCUAGUUGGUGGGGUAAAGGCCUACCAAGGCGACGAUCCGUAACUGGUCUGAGAGGAUGAUCAGUCACACUGGAACUGAGACACGGUCCAGACUCCUACGGGAGGCAGCAGUGGGGAAUAUUGGACAAUGGGCGAAAGCCUGAUCCAGCCAUGCCACGUGUGUGAAGAAGGUCUUCGGAUUGUAAAGCACUUUAAGUUGGGAGGAAGGGCAGUAAGUUAAUACCUUGCUGUUUUGACGUUACCAACAGAAUAAGCACCGGCUAACUUCGU